UACAUACACACACACGCACAGUAUUAGUCAUGGUAUCAGUGAGCCUUUGGCGUGACAAGGCGAAAGACGCAAUGCUAUAUACACGGAAAGCUAACAACAUGGCUAACAGUCACAGCUGUUAUUGUCAAUUUGACCAACUUUUGGCAAAACAACUUAUGCUAGGUUUAGAUCAAUUCAUAUUUCCUCGGAAGCUUCACAAGCACACAUUUUUGCUGACGUGGUCAACCGUUCAAAAGGAACUUGUCCGGUCCCAGCCCUGUGCCGUAAGCAGCAAUCUAAAAAGAAAGAAAGAAUCAACUGAAGUUUUAUUUAAAAUCUUCAAUGUCGGUUAAAAACGGUAAAAUGUUACUUCAAAACGUACUAUUAUGGUAUGUUUCAGCCAGGCACAGACACCUAAAAAUGGCGUUGAAUCCUCACAACCGGCGCCUUAAGCGGAUUGUGUUUGACGUGAGAGGUUGGACUCACCAAGACGGGCGAGGAGACAGACGCUGAGACUGUCAACUGAGCAAGCGGAGCCCCGGCACAUUUUAAUCAAAGCCCACGGGGGAAAAGGGCCACACUGAGUCAGUGAUAAAUAUGUUGACAGUGUGCACAUUAAGGAUGCAGAGUGAGGAGGAGUGGCACUAGCUGCAUGGGACUCUCACUGUACGCGCCAUAAAUAGACCACAUGACUCAGCUCUUGGAGUCGAGCCAAAGGUUGGGAAACAAAGACGUGAGGAAAAAUACACGUGAGAACCUGGUACAUCCUUGUUAGGUGCAGCGGGACUAGAACCUGAGGAUUCUAAUACUACCGACCUCAUUUAGGAAUUGGCUAAGUAUGCCGUGAGAUAAUCAAACAUCACUUUUAACGCCAUCACCGCAGGCUUUUAUUUUUGUGUAAGAAUGCCACAGUCGUUGUGAUCGAUCGGUGAGAUUUUUCUCAUUUUCCAGAAAGAAACUCUGAAUUUCUGAGCUAAUAAAGAGACUACAAAAAGCCUGGAUGGCAGCCGUUAGAUAAUCAAACAUCACUUUUAACGCCAUCACCGCUAUGUUUUAUUUUUGGGUAAGAAUGCCACAGUCGUUGUCGUGAUGAUCGGUGAGAUUUUUCUCAUUUUCCAGAAAGAAACUCUGGAAUUUCUGAGCUAAUAAAGAGAGGACAAACAGCCUGGAUGGCAGCCAUGAGACCAUCAAACAUCACUUUUAACGCCAUCACCGCUAGCUUUUAUUUUUGGGUAAGAAUGCCACAGUCGUUGUCGUGAUUGAUCGGUGAGAUUCUUCUCAUUUUCCAGAAAUAAACUCGGGAUUUCUGAGCUAAGAAAGAGACCAAAAAUAGCCUGGAUGGCAGCCAUGAGACCAUCAAACAUCACUUUUAACGCCAUCACCGCUAGGUUUUAUUUUUGGAAGGAAACUCGGGAUUUCUGAGUUAAUAAAGAGACGACAAAUAGCCUGGAUGGCAGCGGUGAGACCAUCAAACAUCACUUUUAACGCCAUCACCGCUAGGUUUUAUUUUUGGGUAAGAAUGCCACAGUCGCUGUCGUGAUCGAUCGGUGAGAUCUUUCUAAUUUCCAGUAAGAAACUCAAAUUUCUGAGCUAAUAAAGAGACGACAAAUAGUCUGGAUGGCAGCCGUGAAACCAUCAAACAUCACUUUUAACGGCAUUACUGCUAGCUUUUAUUUUUGGGUAUGAAUGCCACAGUCGUUGUCGUGAUGAUCGGUGAUAUUUUUCUCAUUUUUCAGAAAGAAACUCAAAUUUCUGAGCGAAUAAAGAGACGACAAAUAGCCUGGGUGGCAGCCAUGAGACCAUCAAACAUCACUUUUAACUCCAUCACAGCUAGCUUUUAUUUUUGGGUAAGAAUGCCACAGUCGCUGUCGUGAUCGAUCGGUGAGAUCUUUCUAAUUUCCAGUAAGAAACUCAAAUUUCUGAGCGAAUAAAGAGACAACAAAUAGCCUGGAUGGCAGCUGUGAGACCAUCAAACAUCACUUUUAACGCCAUCACCGCCAGCUUUUAUUUUUGGGUAAGAAUGCCACAGUCGUUGUCGUGAUCGAUCAAUGAGAUUUUUCUAAUUUUCCAGAAAGAAACUCGGGAUUUCUGAGCUAAUUAAGAGACGACGAAUAGCCCGGAUGGCAGCCGUGAGACCAUCAAACAUCACUUUUAACGCCAUCACCGCAAGCUUUUAUUUGUGGGUAAGAAUGCCACAGUUGUUGUUGUGAUGAUCGGUGAUAUCUUUCAAAUUUUCCAGAAAGAAAUUCAAGAUUUCUGAGCUAAUGAAGAGACUACAAACAUACUGGAUGGCAGCGGUGAGACUAUCAAACAUCACUUUUAACGCCAUCACCGCCAGCUUUUAUUUUUGGGUAAGAAUGCCACAGUUGUUGUUGUGAUGAUCGGUGAUAUCUUUCAAAUUUUCCAGAAAGAAAUUCAAGAUUUCUGAGCUAAUGAAGAGACUACAAACAGCCUGGAUGGCAGCCAUGAGACCAUCAAACAUCACUUUUAACGCCAUCACCACUAGCUUUUAUUUUUGGAAAGAAACUCGGGAUUUCUGAGCUGAUGAAGAGACUACAAAUACCCUGGAUGGCAGCCGUGAGACCAUCAAACAUCACUUUUAACGCCAUCACCUGGUUCGUGUUGGUGUGUUCACGACAUCCUCGCACUGGAAUGCGGGUGCUGCGGUGUCCUUCUAUUCAGUGCCUUCAACUGGAAGUAGAAGUGCCUUUCCGUCUUCUUGCCGCCCACGGCGUUUCUACUUUUUCCGCGGAGUCUUUGAGUCUUUCUAUUUAGUGCCUUCAACCGGAAGUAGAAGUGCCUUUCCGUCUUCUUGCCUCCCAUGGCGUUUCUACUCGUACGGAUUCUCCAUUCAUCACGCCGAGCAACGUAUUGUUGUGAAUCCCCCCAAACGUCCCCUGAUUGGAGAGCCAGCUUCCGCAGCUCGCGGGCGGGUCCAUGACGACGACCUCUGUUUUGCUCGAUCAGCCGUUUUACUGCCUUGUUGCAGACACCGCUUUUACACAAUUAAGGUUUGUAAAUUCACCAAAACAUCAGCAUGGAGUUAUUGAGUCGGUUUAGCUGAAUGAAGAGCUAAACCAAACAUUCUGUCUUCCGGCCUUCCAUAGCGUUUCUACUCGUAUGGAUUCUUCAUUCGUCACUCCAAGCAACGUUUUAUUGGAAACUCACCAGCAUGUUACCUUGGAGUCUGAUUGGAGAGCUUAGUGGGUCCAUGACUUGUUUUGUUUGGGCUGCCGUUUUACUGCCUUGUCACAGACACCGUUUGGAAACAAUUAAGGGGGGCACACACAGGUCCUGUGGCCAUGGAUGAAGUGCUGGUUGUCCAAACUCUAGACCCGGGGUGGACAUCUCUGCGCUGCUGACCUGUCUUCGCUUGGGAUGGUCUCCUGCUGGCCUCACCAUGGACUGGACACUCACUAUUUGAGUUACAUCUACUAUUGACUGGACUUUAACAAUAUUAAUUUACAAUGUACAUAUUUACACAUAUGUAUGUAUAUAUGUGUAAAUAUAAAUAUAUAUAUAUAUAUAUAUGUG